rnacentral:lncRNA from 1 species
GCCCCCUUCUGGUCCGAGCUCCACCUCCUUUAGGGUCCCGCCCUGGCCGCGUGCGCGCCCCCGCAGGUCCCACCCACCAACGCACCGCGCGACUGGACGUGAUGGGAAUAGCGGUCCUCUAACCCAGAGCCUGCAGACCUUGAACCGGAGGCAGAUGCACUGUGGACCGGCAACAGGAGCCGACCCGGGCAUCGCGGCGGCUCUCGGAGCAGAGCACAGCCGCAGCGACAGCGCCCGGGACAGGGAGCCUCCGCCCGGGUGCAGCCGCCGAGACCCUGGCUCCCGCAGCCUGGGAGUCGAGGAACCCCGGCUCCCGCAGCCUGGGAGUCGAAGAACCCCGGCAGGAACUGCAAGAUACCAAGCCUGUCGUGAUCUCAGGGAUUGGAGCAGGGGAAGACGUCGUCGAGGAGGAUCCAAGGUCCGAAACUGAGCAGGAAGCAGCAGCAGAAGGACAAGGCCACAUUGUCACAGGAGCUCCGGGCCCCAGGGACCAAGAGAAGCAGCAGCAGCAGGCGGCCCACGCGGCCACCGAGGGUCCGCAGCCCCGCGACAGACAGCAACGUCUCCACCGUCACACGUUCACCGGGUUGCAGCUGAAGGGGCUGGAAAGCGUUUUGCAGCGCACUCAAUACCCCGACGUGUUGGCGCGGUAAGCGGCUUGCUCUGGAGGCGCGCAUUCUCUAGGACACUGGACUCCUCAGUCCCGGGGUGCCUUGGCUUCUUUCCCAGCUCUCUGUCCCUCCCCCCACCCCCACCCCCACCCCGGAGCCAGAGCUCCCCAGGGGGCUCCAGCCACUGGCGUCUGCCCGCCCUGGAGCCUGAGGUGGGGGCGAUGCCUCCAGGGCAUCAAGGGAAAUACCUGCAGGCCGUCCCUAAGGGAGUCCAGUCAGGAAACCGGGGCUGCGCGUCUGUUUUGGUAAAGAACCUUCUGUUGCAUCGGGAUGGAGAUCAGGGCGAGGAGACGGAGGCACCGUGGUGCGAGUGCGCGGUGGGAUCUUGCCUUUAUUUCAAACUGUGAUCAUUUGGUCGUCGUGGGAUUCUUGUGCAUUCGUCUUGAGUUUUAAAUACUCCCUUAAAAUGUACGAAUCCAGAGAGCUGACCUUUUCAGUGCUCCCUUCAACUUGGCACACAAAGGAAAAUCGUCCCUGAGGCGAGCCUGCAGCUGGGGCUUACAGAAGUGCACGAUGCUGGGGCAUUUGGGAGAACAGAGCUUGGAAAACAAGCAUGAAACCUACCUUAUCUCUCGGGUUUCCUCCGUGACUCCGAAGCCGGUUUGCCAUUUUCUCCCCUCAGAAAGGAGCUUGGACUACUUCUGGAUGUGGCUGAAGCCAGAGCGCAGGUCAGGAAACCUGCAGAAAGCGAAUCUGCAGGGCAGCCACUCUAAAACCUGCUUCAGGACUUGGAUGCUUUUGUUCUCGACAAUCUCACCUUGUUGUUUUGGUUGCCUUCUGCAUGUUUGGGAAGUGAGUUUUGAAUUUUGGGGGCUUGGGCGAGUCGAACAGGGGACGUGUAAAGCCCAGCUUACCAGAAUGGUGCACUGUCAGAGGGAACUUGAGGUCCUAAAGGGAAAACAAAAAAGUCCAAGAGAACCAAACUGCUUCUCCAGUUCCCUGUCCAAAGGGAAACAGAAGUAAAGAGGUUUCAGAGGGUGAAGGACCCCUUCGAUACCCUUGAGGGAAACCUGUUCCAAAGUCCACCCCCCUCCUGCUGGAUGUGGACUUUAGACUGAAGGAGCUCUCACCAUGCUCAGCUUCCCCCACAGCCAGGGAGACACGAUCCCCCGAGAGCACGGGGCAGAGGCAGCGGGACAGCAGGAUGCUCCACUGUCAGGAGACCGACACUGCUUCAUCCUGUGACCAGGCACGGCAUGAAUAGCAGGAAGAAAGUGCCAUUCAUCAGCUAGCCCCACAUCCAAGAGCCGGGAAAACCCUCCAAGAACAUCGAAGGCGGGAGGAGAGAGACAAAGCCAGAAGGCUGGUCCAAAGCUUGGCACGUCAUAGAUGGUCACUGCGGGUGAAUGGAGGGGAAGGGGC